rnacentral:rRNA from 1 species
UACGUAGGUGGCAAGCGUUGUCCGGAUUUACUGGGCGUAAAGAGCGCGCAGGCGGUCGUUCAAGUCGCGUGUGAAAGCCCCCGGCUCAACUGGGGAGGGUCACGCGAUACUGAUCGACUCGAAGGCAGGAGAGGGUAGUGGAAUUCCCGGUGUAGUGGUGAAAUGCGUAGAUAUGCGGAGGAACACCGAUGGCGAAGGGCAAUCCCCUGGGCCUGUACUGACGCUCAUGCACGAAAGCGUGGGGAGCAAACAGG